AAGUCGUAACAAGGUAUCCGUAGGUGAACCUGCGGAUGGAUCAUUAUCACGUUAUUCACGUAUAAACCAAUCGUUGAACAGUUAUUGUUACCUUUGUUAGUAUGGAUUUUUUUGGGGAAACCCUAAAAAUCUUGAACACAAAGUGUAUUACUAUUCUAAUACUAUAUUAACCAAUCGAACCAUUUCUAUAAUGUUUUUCUUUGUGUGAACUGAAUUGUUUCUUACUCGUCAUUCACUUGGUGAGAAGAAAACUAUUUACGAAACAUAUCGAACAACUCUUAGCAACGGAUAUCUUGGUUCUC
rnacentral:misc_RNA from 1 species